rnacentral:lncRNA from 1 species
UUCUCUCUUCUCUUCUCUUCUUCUCUCUUCUCUUCUUCUCUCUUCUCUUCUUCUCUCUUCUCUCUUCUCUCUUCUCUCUUCUCUCUUCUCUCUUCUCUCUCUCUCUCUCUUUCUUUCUUUCUUUCUUUCUUUCUUUCUUUCUUUCUUUCUUAAGAUUUGUUUAUUUAUUAUAAUAAGACUCUGCAACUGUCUUCAGACACCCCAGAAGAGGGCAUCUGAUCUCAUUAUGGAUGGUUGUGAGCCACCAUGUGGUUGCUGAGAUCUGAACUCAGGACCUUCAGAGGAGCAGUCAGUGCUCUUAACUGCUGAGCCAUCUCUCCAGCCCUUUUCUUAUUCCUCAGAAUCAAACGUUGUCAAGUUUAAGACUGUCUGUUUAGUCAUGUUAGUGGUUUGCCUUUUUGAGUACCAUGAUUUGGGAAGUUAAAUAUUUAGUUGAAAUUGUCAUGUGUGCCUGAAUUAGUAGUAUAAUUUUAUUUUUUAUAAAAACGUUUUGGUUUCCCAUUAGAAUUAUUUACCUGAAGCAAGCUUUGCCUGCUGCCAAUGUGAAGAAACAGUGGUUUAGUGGGAAUGUCAAAUCAAAUACAGUUUCCCUAAAUAGAACAUGUUCUUUUCAUACUCUUAAAAAUUCAUGUACUCAUCAAACAUGUAUUGAGAGCUUGCCAUCUUGGUUGCCUAGUCAACUGUUCAUAUAUAUUUUUAAAGAGUUCCUGUCAUCCAGGACUGGACUCAGCAUGCAUUUAGAACUUAGCUUGAAGGUAGUUAAGGAAGAUGCUUUUCCACAGCAAUUUGGUUUUCGUUUCUAUUAGAAAACAUUUUCUCAAACUCAGCACUCGGCUGCUGUGCAGCCCCGAAUUACCUUUGGCUCCCCGGGUUUACUCUGAUUGGCUGGGGCCCAUGAUGACACAUAUGUGGGCAGAGGAAGGACAGAGAAUAUUUAAGCAGCUGUUAGCCUGAGUAGAGAAAAUCUCAGCAUCCAUUGUAUUACUCUAAGUAUUUUAAUAUGUUUGAAAAUUUGUAUAAUGAAAUGGGGAAAAUAAAAGUAAAUCUGGAAAUUAAGAAUGAAGUUAAUUUUAACUGUUCUUUCGUGGAUUAAGACAAAGUUAGCUGUUCUGUCAUUACUGUGACAAAAUACUGACAGAGGUUAACUAAAGGAAGAAAACAUAUUUCCACUCACAGUUUGAAGGAAUGGUCCAUCAUGGCAGGAGAAUCACAGCAGCAGGAAAGGCCUGAUGUGGCUGGGCUCACUGUGCCUGAAGUUAGGACGCAGAGAUAUGAAGGCUGGAAUUCAGCUCCUUCCUCCCUUUGCUUUCUCUUCAGUCUGAGAUCCUAGUCCAUAGGAUGGUGUCAUCCACCUUCAGGGUGGGUCCUCCUCCCUUAAACUUCUUUAGAAAUGUCCGAAGUCCCUCAACAGAUACGGGAGACUGAAAUAAUCCUAUGCACCCAUCAGAUUACCAUGGACCAAGGCUGGUCAAAUACCAACAAAAACAACGGAAAGCACACAUAUACAAGCUGAACAACGCUCUACUCAAUGAUAACUUGGUCAAGUAAGAAAU